rnacentral:tRNA from 16 species
CGUCGGGUGAACGUCGCGGACUUCAAAGCCAGCGCGCUCACGC